GCGUGCACACUGCCGCGUUCUGCCAGCCCCGCCCCGCAACCCGCAGCCGCCCCACGCCGCAACCCGCAGCCGCCCUGGCAACCGCCCGCAUCCGUGGCUUCCAUCCGGAAAUCUCGGUCGCGAUAGCAUCCCGCAACCGCCAUAAUCCCCCCAAUCUCGCGCUCCCCUGUGCUCUGCGGCCUCCACAUUUCACGCAGCCGAUCUCUGCUCCCUGCGCCGUGUUCGUUCGCGAGGUUGGGGCCGAUGAUGGCGGCGGCGGGGCGGACUCCGAUUUCUGCGGCGGCCAAGUCGGAGACACAGGCGACGCCCGGAGAGGCGCUAGCGGAGGCAGCCGGGUCCCACGGCUGGCUGCGCGAGUACGUGGACCGCCUCGCGUCCUCGGCCUCCUCCCUCUCCGGGCGGUGGAGCGCGCGGUGGAGCCAGGGACACCACAGCCGCAGCCAGAGCAACCUUGCGAGAUUGGGGCCAGAACAAUAGCUCUAUUUGCUAUGGAACCACCUAGACGGCGUCUAUCUCCAGCGAGAGCGAUACCGUCGAGGCGCCUAUCCGCGCCGGACACAACGUCCGCAGUGAUGGGCAACCUCCAGGGCCUGAACGGUGCCACCGUAGGCUUCUCGGCGGCCGGCGGCCCGGAGGAGGCGACUGAAGAGGAGGACAUGCGGGGCUGCAAGGGAUGCGCUCGCCGGUGGCCGAAGUCGGGGCUAAGCUGGGGUUGUGCACGGUCGAGAAGAUGGAGGCGAGGUGAGUCACUCCAUCACACUGCGCAUGUCACCAAGGCACGGCCUCCCAUCUCGGUAACCACCAUCCCCUCCUAUUCAAUGUGAACUCGCCUCAAUCUGAUCGCUUGCGCUGAUCAGUGAAUUAAAAUCUUGGAGAUAGGCUGGACGAGGUAGCUAUACGUCUAUAUCUCACAUGAAUUACUCUUUGUUAGGCUUUGGUUUUGGAUGUCCAGAAUAAUGUAAGUGUAAAAUAAUCUGGGCCAUAGACCGAGUCAAUUGUGAUGUGGAGACUGACGAAGUUGUCUGCAUUCACGGAUUGAGGCCAAGUCAUUCUUUGUUUGUGAACUGCAAGGAGAAACAUGUCAAUGUUGCUCGAUGUCAAUGGCGGCUGGUGCAUGCAUGUAUCUUUCCUACAGGUCUACAAUUGCAUGCACUGCAAACUAGGCGUCUGUAGAGCAUUAGGUAUGCAUGUAGAAGGAAAGUCCUAAUGCGAUGGUGGUACUGUGAUGCAUGGUCAAGGAGAGUAAGGUUUAGUUGUUCGUUUCAGAGAAUAAAAGUACCAGUAGAGGUUCAUCCCUCCUGGGCAGGCAACGAGCUAACUAGAUAGGCACCUAACUUAGGUUAGUAAGUUUUAAUUAUUACCUUAACACAACAUGAUAGCGCACAUGAUGAUAUUGUAAAGUAUUUUGGCAACAAUGGUCUAUUUAAACUCCACAGAUUUAUUGGAACUUGAGCUAGCACCUGUAUGAGUCAAGGUAAGACCAAUUUAAUUAAUUGGACAAGCCGACAAGCUAGCACUCUCCUGGAGCAUAAUCUAAAUUGUGUACGCCCUUGUUCAAACAAUUAAUAUAGCUGACUGUUUUUUAAUAUUAUCAUUUAACAGAGCCUAGACUUUUCAACGAAGGUUAUGGAUUUGGCAGCAGGGGAACUCCUGGAGAUUGUGCCUCUUGGAAAAGGCUUCUUUCUUGCCAACUAUCCUAUUUCAAUUUUGGAUUGACCAUUAUCGUUUGUGUUCCUUUGUCCUCCCUCUUUUACCUCUUGUAGUUACACAAGAACAACUUGAUUGUGCUAAAGAGGCAAUCGAAUCUACAGUUCUGAUGAACUUGGAAUCAAGGGCUAAAGUAACCUGUCUCUGUUUGGUCAUUAUGCUCUAGGAUCCUUCAACUUGACAUCACAACAAUCGUUGAGGAGGUAACCAACUUUUCUAGACUGCAUUGAGAUUGUUUUUGUACCAAACUGCAAUGUGUGCUUAUCUUUGUGCUUCAAUAAAUGGUGUAUAUAUUAGGCUCUUGUUCAGUUAGUACGUCUCGGUUUUCUUAAAAUGGUGAUGUUAGUGUCUUGUGAGUAGGUGGAGAUGUUCUGGGGUCAGGGGUGGUGAUCUGUGCUUUUCUUUUAAAUUAUCUGAAGCAUAACCACACAAAAGAUGUUCCAGAGUUUGCCACAAGAAAGUAUACAUGCUUUUUCUGUUAAGUGAUGAUUAAUGACAUGCUUUUCUAUGAUGAGCAUAGAAACUAUGGAUUAUUCUAGGCCAAAUUCAAUAGAGGUUCUAGAGUCUGACAUAGGCUAUCAUUUUGGAAUGCUUUUGGACACUCGGUGUAGAUGUUAUUUUAGUGUAGCAGUAUAUUGUGUAUUGAUGCCCUUCAAUAUUGGAUUAUGAGUCAUUUACUUAGUCAUUGUUGUGGUCAAAGCAAUAUGAUGAAGACCAAUAUCAUGCUUUGAAUGACUAAAUCCUGCAUUUCUAUGCAACGCCAUGCUCAGUUUUAGAUGAGAUCCACUUCUCCGUGUUUUCGGCUCUGUUUAGCCUGAUACUGACGAAUUCAGGACAGACAACAAUAGCAGUCUCGCUCUUUGCGUCCACAAUUAUAUUUCCAGAUCUUUAUAUUUGGUAUAUAUUAUUCUUAUGACAGUCAUUGAUUAUGGUGGAUAGUACUUUCAUUAGUUAUGUUCUUGUAUCUUUUUUCCUCAUGUUACAUGCCUGGGAUGUCUAAAGCUGCCAUAUUGGUCUGAUUGAUCUUUUAGUGAUAUAUAGAAACUGCAAGAUGUUAUCCGUGGACAUCUAGAGGUGGCCCAUGCCUCACGGCCAAAGCAGAUCAGAUGAGAUUUUUUUGGUCUUGUGUGGUUCUUUUUAAUCUGCUCACAUGAUACUUCUUAUUCAUUGCCAUCCAAUUUAAUUAAUUGCCCUCGACUGAAUUGGUUCCUUUGCCAUUUUACUUAGGAGGAUAAAAGAAGACACUACCUUGGCACAUGCCUGUUGCCACAAUGGACAAAAGAAGAUUAGUGUUGUGUGAUAUUUUUUCAUUCCUUUGAUCUAUUGCAUGCUAUUUGUACCCCAAUCGACAAAAUAGAUGAGACUCAAUUCAGGAGCAAAUCACCAGUCCUGUUCACAACCCAAUUCACUAUGGCUAAAAUAUCAAACUUAUGCUCCUUGAGGUUUGUUUUUUCCUGAUCUUCCUUUAAUAUCUGAUGACUGAUGGACUGGUGAGUUCAUGAUCUGCUUCAUGCUUUUCCUUUUAUAUAUGGUCACUACCUCACUGGUUAGUUCAUGGUGCUUUUUGUCUACUUCUUUGCCCCAAAAAAUCUCGGGGCGAAUUUCAGCAUGCUUUUCCUCUAGGUGUAAAGCCACCCACUCGAUCGAUCACCAUAUCUCCCUCUAGGUGUUAUUUUUAAAUAUGCUUUGUUCAGUGUAAAUCGUUGCUUGCAGAUGCUGCUUUCACAAGACAGACAUCUUGCUUUCUAUGGAGUUGAACCAGGAUCAAGCGACCUUACUGGCCCAUUUAACCAAGGAAUCAUGCAGCCAGAAUUGAUGUGCACCAUUGCCAAUCCUGUUGAUGUUUUGCACGGAGCUAUUCACGACGCGUCAACAAUGAACCAUGUAAUUUUACAGAGUGACGUACUGACAUAUGUAUAUGCAGUUCCAUAUGUGCUUCCAAAACUGUCAUCUGUCACCCAUGCCCACAUCGUUGUUGGCGGAGAGCACGCAAGUCAUCGUGAGUUCGACCUCCAUAGUACAUACUAAAGAGCUGUCGACGACAUGACGAACCGUCUCAAGGAUGCCACAGUCAGGAUGAUGAAAAUUGAGGCCUACGAAACCCUGCAAACUUUGGGCUCAUCCAGCACCUAUAGUGGAAAAUGCCUAAGUUAGACGCUGCACUUGGUAUAAAAAUAUAUGCAAAAUAUUCCUUAGUUUUUGCAAAUAGGUGUAAUGUAAGUAUAUGUUAAUUGUACAUGUUACAGUAAAUCGAGAAAUAAUGACCCCUACAUGAUCUAUGUGUUACAGGCUGCAUUUCGGAGGCAUGAUAAGGUCUGCUAAUGUGCAAUGUAAGUUUGUGCAUAAAAACAGGAGCACAAGUGCAUAACCUUGGUAUAAGCAAAAUGAUAUUUGUUUAGCCAUGUGUUAUUUUGUGUUAAGCAUAUGCUCUUUUGUCGAUGCAAGUCUGCAAUUAGGGGAUGUGAGUUACAGUGUUGACCUUUGCAAUUAGGGGAUCUCAACUAUGAUGUCCCAACCUACAGUGUUGACCUUUGCAAGCAGAUUGCAGAUCUGCUCUGCAUCAAACAACAAAAAUGUUGUUUUACUCCAUAUAACUGCAUCCCAAGUUGUCAAGCUCCAUAAUGCAUGCAUUUAUAAAAAUCUGAUAUUUUGUAUGUACAUGAACUCUCAUGCUGUUCUCCCCCCUCUUUUCAGAAGUCCACUGCUAUUACAUAAUUUUUUUUACCGCGUGCUAUUAGUUUAUGCACCAAAAAAUUAUUGAUUUUCACCAAUAGGUCUAAAGUCCUGGUUGCACCAUCAGCAAUUGUAGCAGACACGGUAACUUUUGUACAUAAAUAUUUCCCUACUAUUAUCCCUACUUACCAAAUUCAUUAUUGGUUCCAAGCAUCUUGAAAGAGAAGUCCAUUGUCUCUCUUACUGUCAUCUCAGCAUGGCUAACAGAAGCACGCAGGUACUGUGGUGUUGAAUAAUUCAUUUAUUAUCCAUUAUACAUGACUUUUCCUUUGAACUGUUGUCAAUUGUUGGCCAUUAGAAAAUAUAUACUAUAGUCGAUGAUAACAUAUGCGCAAAGAUUUUAUCGAAUAAUUUUUGUGUUCUCGCAAUGUACGUGCAUUGUAUUAUAUAAAUAUAAAGUAGGAGUUUCUCCACCUUCCUUUAAUCAUGCUGCUUCUUGCUGAGGGUGGCGUGAAAAGGUCAGCAACAAGUUCCGCUAUGGUGGCGACAGAGAAGACGGGGGAGGCUCUGGCGACAUUGUGGCGACGACGAGAAGCGAGCAAGGAUAUAAAUCGAUCUGUUUCUUUGGAAAUUAGAUGUAGUAGAAUAUUUACGCGAUACAAAUCUCGUUUCUCUAUAUAUCUAUAUCUAUUACGUUUCUCAUGUCUCUAUUUUUAUUAUAAUGGUUUGGGAAAAUGUCACUCAUCAUCUGCUCUAAUCUUUCGAAAUUAGGUGUAGUGGAAUAUUAUUGCCCGAUAUUGCUACACUACAAUAGUGAAAUAAUAGUUUUUUUGUUUUACAUAAGCCCCACUCUUUUAUCUAAAAGCCCAUAAAUUAUUGUCCAAAAUGGAAGAUUAAGACUUUGUUUAUUACUUCUAAAUUAUCCUUUCUAUAUCUGCCAUAUGUACCAUCAGCGACAAGAUGACCCCCACAUGUUGUAUCAUGGUUUACUAGAGAGGCUACUCAAGAUGAGGAAUUUGAAGUUAUGUAUAGUGAGGACGAUGAUGAAGACAAAGAUGACGAGGAUGAUGAGGAAUAUCACUUCACCCUUUCCAGCUUCUAAGUUUUAAGUAUGUUUUGACAUUUUCUUUCUUCUUUGGAACAAAAGACCAAGGGGGCUGCUGGAGGGGGAAAGGCAGCAGCGAACGACCUGUUGAGUGCAAGCAGGAGUGAAUGCUGCACAUUGAAUAUUGACAUGCAUUGGUUGUGGAGCAAUUAGUAUGGUUCUACUUGAUGCAAGGUGCAUGCAGAACUAGCCUGCAAUUGUCCUCAUGUCCGUGUGCGACAACGACACACCCAAGCGUGACCAAGCGCAACUAGGCACGCUAGCGCCUAAGGCGAAACGAUGGAGACAUCAAUAAACGGGGCAAACGUGGUCGGAGCAGGGCGGACGCAACGAGAACAGGACUGGCCGCACUCAGUCAGGCAUGCGGGUUAGAGCAACAUGACGACUAGGGAAGGCAUUGUAGGGCGAGCACAAUCGAAGCAUGAUCGACCUCUGCGAGGCACACCCGAGGCAGGAGCGGUUUGCUUGUAGCACACACACGAAGGAUGAUGAAGAAAAGGUGUCCAAGGAAAAAUGAAACUGAUUUUGUAAACCUAGAACGUUUGGGUCACCUGCGCACCCGCCAUCUUCGACGAGGAUGGUGGGUCGGCGUCACCUACGCACCCACAAUCUUUAACGAGGAGGGUGUCGUGGACAAUGGUGAUGACGUGCAGGGACCACCAUCAUUGAUUCCUCCGGUGCACCUGCGAGAUCCAGCCUCGCCCAAACGUGGAGGGAGUUCAACCAUGCAAGGAGAACAGGGGAUCAAGGUUAGUUGUGUCGACACUCAUGUGAUCGUCGCUAGAGGUGGCUAGGUCUUUACCACCGUCGUCAGUGGCCAUGCAAUGGAUCCAUCGGCUUUGAGGGAGCCUGCUGUCAUGUAUGGUUGUGUGGUGUGGAGGGUGCGAGAGGAGGAGAAGAUGGAGAUCAAUGGUAAAGCAACAACCAACAUUAGCAUCGGUAGGACAGUGG